rnacentral:rRNA from 1 species
UACGGAGGGUGCGAGCGUUGUCCGGAAUCAUUGGGCGUAAAGCGCGCGUAGGUGGCCCCAUAAGUCCGCUGUGAAAGUCAAAGGCUCAACCUUUGAAAGCCGGUGGAUACUGUGGGACUAGAGUACGGAAGAGGCGAGUGGAAUUCCUGGUGUAGCGGUGGAAUGCGCAGAUAUCAGGAGGAACACCAAUAGCGAAGGCAGCUCGCUGGGACGUUACUGACACUGAGGCGCAAAAGCGUGGGGAGAGAACAGG